rnacentral:rRNA from 1 species
GAUCCCAUCAGAACUCCGAAGUUAAGCGUGCUUGGGCGAGAGUAGUACUAGGAUGGGUGACCCCUGGGAAGUCCUCGUGUUGCACCC